UAUAAAAGACAACUACCGUGUCCAAUAGGCAAAAGACUUUCCGAGAGACAACAAGCGGACAAAGAGAGACCUACAAAGCAGAAACCCGAACUUUCUUGUCUUAAGACUUCACCCUGUGCUGUUCUUGCUACUAAGAUGGACUCAACCACAUUCUUUAAAACCUGUGUUUCGUUUCUUUGCGUUCUUGUAGUCGUCGACCAACUGGUUACUGCAUCCCCACACCUUUACAAUGAUUACGACAACUUGAGAGACCUCUAUGAACUUCUUCUGAGGAACGACGCCCUACCACCAGUUGCUAGGUUCGCCCACCAGAUGGAGCGCAAAGGUGGCCGAUCUCCUUCUCUUC